CUGGCCCUGCCCGGGCCGGUCAAGGGGGCGCUGGGGCGCGUGGGCGGCUGGAGGCCGAGGUGUGGGAGACUCUUUUUAUUACUUGGACGUUCAGCCCCGUCGGAUUUGGAGGGCAUUACGUCUGAAGACACAACGCGGGCCGGCGAGAGCUGAGCGGGGCUCCCUUGGCGGGAACGUGAAGGCAGCAAAGCUUUGCCCUUUUGUGUGUCAGGUCAACACGGCUCUCCCGUUAGACACCUUUUGACGGGGCUGCCUGCGCGCUGAAGAGAUCCAUCCUCUGGUUAUCAGUCAAACAAACAAAAGGAACCUGUAUCGGAGGAAUCAACGCUGAAAUUAAAUGUGUUAAUCUUCAGGGUGCUGUACUUGUUUCUUUUGACUUCCACCCCCGGGAGUUAAGAUUGACUUCCAUCUAGCUCAAAUUUGAAAUAUUGUCACCUUCUCCUCUGGUCCUGGGCUUCGAGCAGCACCCAGAUGCCGGCAUGACCCCCCCCAAAAAAAGAACACUAAAGAUCCAACAGAACUGAACAAGUAAAAUGCUUUAAGUCUUUGUAGCUGGCAUCUUCAGAGGACAGGAGCU